CGUUGUCGUCGUCGUCGUCGUCGUCGCCGUCGCCGUCGUCGUCACCGUCGCCACCGUCGUCAUCGUUGAACGAGGAACAGGUUCGAUUGUGGACAUAAAGCAUCGUGAAUGGAGCAAAAAAUCAGAGGGAACGAUACGGCGCGACAAAGUAAACGGAGAAAAGACGAACAGAUUGCAAAGAGGGUCAGGACACGCGUGAAACGGGGAAAAUACGCGUGUCGGAAAACUUGUGCCGAAUCCUAGCGACAGCAGUACUCCCUCGCAAUGAAAAACCCCUUCUGUAUAAAGACCCUUAUGGCCUAUAGCGCUCAUACGCUCGCUCCCUUGUCCAUGGGAGGGACAACAGCAACGGCAACAGCAACAACAACAACAACAACAACAACAACAACGGCAACGGCAACAACGGCCGACAUGCACGCACAGCGAUUGCAAAAAAACGAAGGGAACGGGGCACGAGGGGAGAUACUGCGACGAGGCGCCGUGAGAGAGAGAGAGAGAGAGAGAGGGAGAGGAGAGGAGAGGAGAGGAAACGAUAGGGGUAUGAAACGCGAAACACACGCGAUAUAUAUACCCCAUCGACACCGGAGUCUGUGUAACGAGCGACGCAAAGGACCCGCCGAUCCUCACGAGUAGUGGAGAAAUCGAGAAGGAGCGAACGAGCAGAGAACCGGAGGAGAGUGCAGAGUGGGAGCAAGUCCAAGGCAUUUGCGUUGUAACCGAGAAACGAGCAAAAAGCGAACGCGCGCCAACCACGCGGACAGUACCAGGGAGAGAAAGAGAGAGAAAGAGAGAGAGAGAGACAACGAUGCCGGGGGUGGAAGCCAACCGAGGAAUCCUUUCGUAUUUUCGCCUUUCUUUCCUCCUCCCUGCCAUGCUGCGCCAAAUUUAAUUACCUCGCGCGCCACUCGACUCUCUACCACUUAAUUAGCGGCCUAUAAAUUAAAAUAUUCCUCUCCGACGACGGGAAAACUUGCGGGGAAACGACGAAACGCUGUGCAGCGCGAAACGAAUCGAUCGCAUCGAAUCCGUAGCUUACAGAUUUGUCUCGUAUCGUCCUGCUGCAAGCGAUCGUUCCAGAGUCCUGUCGCAGCCAGGCAUCGUGUCAGUGUGGAAAUGCAUAAUUACAUAGAAUUACGGUAUAAGUUGUGUUAAAUCAAUGUUAAUCGCUGUAGCGAA